ensembl:lncRNA
UUGUUUUAACCAGUUUUCUACCUUCGGCUGAUUCUACCAGCAGACACUGAAAGGACUCUGAUAGUUUGGUCCCUCUCUAUCUCCCCACACAUCCACCAACCACUGGAACACAUCUCCAAAGUUCUGCCGGGCCAGCUCAGCUUCCAUUCAGAAGAAGUUCCACCAGAUGAAGGAGCCUUUUGAGAGGCAGCUGGCAUCGUGAUUGGACUGUACUUUGGUCUGUUCCAAUCCAGCUUCAGCUCCAGAGACGGCAGGCGGGACGAGUCAACGGAGGCCGGGUGGACGAAGGCAUGCAGCUGAGUACAAUCCAGAAAACAACAGAGGAGGAGUGCAGCAGCCCAGAGCCAGAACAAACAGAGUAGCAUCGUAUGUCUCUUAGAAAACAUCAUAGUAUAGCCUUUGGUAUGAAAAAACACCAUCAUAUACAUCGUAUAUUGUACAAAUAAGUCAAAGGAAAGAGACAUACAUUGUAGAAUUGUAGUAAUUGUGGGCUGACUGAUUUACUGAUUAUCAGUAUUUUAUUUUUUACCGAUUUACAGUAAUAAAUCCAUUUAAAAAUGGC